rnacentral:rRNA from 1 species
UUACGGUCAUAUUAUGUUGAGACACCGGUUCCCCCUGAUCAUCGAACUUAAGCAAGGUCGAACCUGCUCAGUACCUAGAUGGAUGACCUCUUGGGAAUACCAGGUGCUGUAAG